rnacentral:miRNA from 1 species
UGAGACAGAAGGAUUGCCAGAACCCAGGAAGUGGAGGCUGCAGUGAGCUGUGAUCGUGCCACUGCAUUCCAGUCUGGGCAACAGAGCAAGAC